rnacentral:rRNA from 1 species
UAAGUCCCGCAACGAGCGCAACCCUUAUCAUUAGUUGCUACUAUUAAGUUAAGCACUCUGAUGAGACUGCCGAGGUCAACUCGGAGGAAGGUGGGGAUGACGUCAAAUCAUCAUGCCCCUUACGUCUUGGGCUACACACGUGCUACAAUGGCUAUUACAAAGAGCUGCGAAACCGUAAGGUGGAGCGAAUCUCAAAAAGAUAGUCUCAGUUCGGACUGUGGGCUGCAACCCGCCCACACGAAGUCGGAGUUGCUAGUAAUCCCGGAUCAGCAUGCCGGGGUGAAUGCGUUCUCGGGUCUUGUACACACCGCCCGUCAAGCCAUGGGAGUCGGGAGUACCCAAAGUCGGUGAGCUAACCGCAAGGAGGCAGCCGCCUAAGGUAAGACCGAUGACUGGGGUUAAGUCGUAACAAGGUAGCCGUAUCGGAAGGUGCGGCUGGAUCACCUCCUUU